rnacentral:rRNA from 1 species
CCUAGGGGAGGCAGCAGUGGGGAAUAUUGCACAAUGGGGGAAACCCUGAUGCAGCGACGCCGCGUGAGUGAAGAAGUAUUUCGGUAUGUAAAGCUCUAUCAGCAGGGAAGAAAAUGACGGUACCUGAUUAAGAAACCCCGGCUAACUACGUGCCAGCAACCGAGGUCAUACGUAGGGGGCAAGCGUUAUCCGGAUUUACUGGGUGUAAAGGGAGCGUAGACGGCAGCACAAGUCUGGAGUGAAAUGCCGGGGCUUAACCCGGGAACUGGCUUGGAAACUGUGCAGCUAGAGUGCAGGAGAGGAUAGGGGAAUUGCUUGUGUAGGAGGGAAAUUCGUAGAUAAUAGGGGGAACACCAGUGGCGAAGGCGGCUUACUGGAAUGUAACUGACGUUGAGGGUCGAAAGCGUGGGGAGCAAACAGGAUUAGAUACCCUUGUAGUC